rnacentral:sRNA from 1 species
GCCGUAUCAGACGGAACGCUCCUGCGUGA